UACAGAGGUCCCAAGCGUUGUUCGGAUUCAUUGGGCGUAAAGGGCGCGUAGGCGGCCUGCUAAGUCGGACGUGAAAUCCCUCGGCUCAACCGGGGAACUGCGUCCGAUACUGGUGGGCUCGAAUCCGGGAGAGGGAUGUGGAAUUCCAGGUGUAGCGGUGAAAUGCGUAGAUAUCUGGAGGAACACCGGUGGCGAAGGCGGCAUCCUGGACCGGUAUUGACGCUGAUGCGCGAAAGCCAGGGGAGCAAAGCGGG
rnacentral:rRNA from 1 species